rnacentral:rRNA from 1 species
GGUUGCGAUCAUACCAGCACUAAUGCACCGGAUCCCAUCAGAACUCCGCAGUUAAGCGUGCUUGGGCGAGAGUAGUACUAGGAUGGGUGACCCACUGGGAAGUCCUCGUGUUGCAACCC